CAGUAGCCGCGGUAAUACAGAGGGUGCAAGCGUUAAUCGGAAUUACUGGGCGUAAAGCGCGCGUAGGUGGUUUGUUAAGUUGGAUGUGAAAUCCCCGGGCUCAACCUGGGAACUGCAUCCAAAACUGGCAAGCUAGAGUACGGUAGAGGGUGGUGGAAUUUCCUGUGUAGCGGUGAAAUGCGUAGAUAUAGGAAGGAACACCAGUGGCGAAGGCGACCACCUGGACUGAUACUGACACUGAGGUGCGAAAGCGUGGGGAGCAAACAGGAUUAGAUACCCCUGUAGUCCCUGUCUCUUAUAC
rnacentral:rRNA from 1 species